GGAGAGGGUUGGAAGGGAAAUGGUCUGCACGCCUCCUCUGGGAAGAACCCCAAUGCUGGUGAGGGAUGUCAUCCAGGAACUACACAGCCCUGCACAGAGGCCCCAACACCCAUUUGGCAGCAGCCAAAGGCCAGGCUGGGCAGUUUCUGGCCCUGACGAGGCUCAGCAUCAUGACCGCCCUGCAGAUGACUGAGAGGCACAGGAAACGGCGCAGAGGAACUCCAGCUCAUCAUGUUCCUCUUUCCAUAAGAACGGUGACCAUUCCUGUGUCCGCCACUGCCCCAAUCCCGCACAGCUGAGUCCUUUUCAUGCCACCCGCGGCACCGUCACAAAACAAUCACCAACCUGACCGAAGACCUACGGCCCAUCGGACACCGAUGACCCCAAAGCCGGCAAGAAUUCUACCUGAGCCUGGGGUCUCCUGAGGACACAGGUCAGAAUGUCCACCGCAAUGCAGUGUGACACGUACAGCCCACCAGCUUGAGAAUGGAGACAGUGGAGCCCACUGAGGCAGGGAGCUGAGUACCCCGUGAGGAAGGGGUCAAAACCCACCAAGUGAGGCAGGGGUACCGAGGGGCCUUCCCAGAAGUGAGACAGAACUAAGUCGGGUCAACCAAGGCCUUCCUGAGAGAGAGCCACAAAUCCAAAGCAGGCCCACAGGGGGAGUCCUCCAGGGCUCAAGGACUGGAGGGGUACUUAAGUAGCAGUAGAAUCAGUACUGCUGCUCAAGUACUAGGUGGAGACAAGAGUCAGCACACUGGCCUGUGGGCCAAAUGUGUUUGCUGUCUGCUUUCAUAAAGUUUUAUUGGCACCCAGCCAGGCUCACUUGUUUACACAUUGUUCCUGUUUUCACACUCCAACAAGAGCUGAGUAGUUGUGACAAAGACCAUAUGCCUGGCAAAGCUAGAAAUAUUUGCACUCUCUUUCCAGAAGGAAAAAAAAAAAAAAAAAACUCUGCGGCUUGGACAUCUGAGGGGAUGGCGCCAGCGCUCAGAAUACAGAACCAUAGAGGAAAACCAGAUGUCAGGGCAAAGUCAGGAGCGGGGCCAUACACGUGGUGUGGGGCUGAGGAGCCUCCAUGGGGGAACGCUCUGCAGGCGGUGCUUAGGAGAGGCCUAGGGGCCACACCAGAAGCUCUGGAAACCACGGCCCGGGAAUCGGCGUGGCAAGACACGGGUCCGAAAAGAAGGAAAAGAGGACACAGUAGACAGAAUGGGGCGGGGGAGGGGGUAGGCAGAGGAACACAAACCAACCAGCCAUGCUGUCCCUUCAUCCCUGAGGGAAGCGGGGAUGGCAGUGUCUGAUGUCGGGCAGUGGGGAAGAGCCACAUGCUAAGAUGGAGGCUGUGGGGGUCAAAGGGUAAGAGAACCAUGGAGGAUGGAGAGGGGCCGACGAGGAGGAGGUGAAGUGGGCCAGACCGGCCUGGGAGAAGUGGGGGCCACAGGAAAGGGCGGAGCUGUGACGAAGCUGCAGGCCUGUGGCAGAACCCCAGUGCCAGAGCAGACCCUGGGGACCGGGCCAGGAGCACACCGUGAGCUCAGCUGCUCAAAGGCAGCAGGGUGGCUCAGCCCACGGCACGUGAGCCACCUGGUUCCAGGAUGGCCGGUGCCUGGCUCUAGCCUCAAGUGCUCACGGCCCUUUCACAAUGUUUUCCAUUUCCAUGGCCGCCUUUUCCAGUGUUAAGAACCUCGUGAUGGCAUCAUUACUGUGCAGGAAUGAGAAGCCAAAAUAACCCCAGUGCGGCGCCCUGCCCUAAGCUCCACCAGAGCCCGUGGAGCGGCAGAGUCCCCCAGGGCCCUGCGGCCCAGCCAGCAAGUAAGACCCAGGUGACCCUGGCACCUGGCAGCCCCAGCCUCCUGUCCGUGGGGCGGAGUCAAAGGAAGUCUGAUGCAAAGAUGAUGAGGGAGGGUGGCGUCUGGUGGGGCCUGGGCACCUGUCCCAGAACCUGUUCCACACCUAGAAAACAAGAGAAGCGCCGGGCGGUGGUGGCGCAUGCCUUUAAUCCCAGCACUGGGGAGGCAGAGGCAGGUGACUCUCUGUGAGUUCAAGGCCAGCCUGGUCUACUCUACAGAGUGAGUUCCAGGACAGGCUCCAAAAGCAGAGCCAGGGUCCUGGUAGCCACUUGGGCAGCCCUGAGAAGUCGCUGGAGUCCUGAGUGGCAGAAGCAGAAUUCUGAAGUUGGUGGGUGGUAGGCAGCAGUGAGACCUGGGGGGGCUAGGACUUUGGACUGGUCAUUUCAAGGUCCCCGUCUAAAAUCCGCAGGGGUGGGAGCAGGCAGGGCGAAGAACGUGCCUCCAUAUUCCCAACGCGCCAUCAGACAUGUCACCAAAACUCCCUGGAGCCUUGUUUCCUAGGUGGUGAACUGGGACUAAGUGGCUCAUUAGCACAAAGCACUUAGAACAAUGCCUGGCCCCCAGGAAGUGCUCAGUGUAUCCUAAGUCUGCAGAGUGUGCCCGAGGGAGACCUCAACAAGGUGUGGCCUGGUCUUCCCGUAGGCUUCCAGGGUGGCCACGGAGUUAUACACUGAGUUCCCUCGGACAGCCUACUGUCAGCGGAACACCUUCAGGUCCCUCAGCCAGGCUGCAGGAGCUCUCUUGAGACAUGAACAGAAGACUCCUAUUCAAGUUACAUCCUCCAGGACUCUCCUGACCCCCUCCACCACCUCGCCCUGACAUAUAUGCUCAUAGGGGGCCAGGUGAAGACGGUCCCGGGUCCUGGCAGCCUGUCCACUGUGUAAGCAGGUACACAGAACCCAGGUUUAAGAAGGUCACAGCACCAAGUUAAUUGUGCUAGCCUAGUGCUGCAACCCCAGCUGCCUCAGUCCACUCAGUUAAACCCUCUGUCCUUCUCCGGCCACCUCACAGCUCUGGGGACACAGCAAAAGUCCCCUUAGAAUCCCAUGGACACCGGAGUCCAACCCAGCCCUGGAAAGAGCUGUAUGUCCCUGAUCACAUCGUGAUACCCCCCCCCCCCACUUUAAACACUGCCUCCUCCUAGCUGGGUCUGGACCCUCAGCGGUCAGCGUGACUACAGCAGCAGGGACACAAGAUGACGGUGGCUCUGGAGACCAAAACACAAGAGCCUCAGAAAUCCCUUCUCAGUGGACGCAGCUGGUUUCUUCUGGGAUGGGAUGGUUGGAGAUGUUCGUUUGUCCUUUCUUUUCUUCCUUUUCCUUUUGUAGUAUGUAUUUCUAUAACAAUGUUGAAGAAUGAUACAGAAGGUCCGAAGGCAGAUGGUCAUAAAUAAAUACCCAUCUUUUGUUUCUGUUUUUGGAGACAGGGUUUCUCUACAUAGCUCUGGCUGUCCUUGAACUCUGUAGACCAGGCUGGCCUCGAACUCACAGCGAUCCACCUGCCUCUGCCUCCCAAGCGUUGAGAUCAAAGGCGUGUGCCACCACCGCCCAGCCUAUGAAUACCAAUCUUAAAGAUAAGGAAAGGGCUGUGGCUGUAAAUGAAGGCCAUUAAUUUACUUGUGUGUAUGUGGAGAUCUCAGCCUCAAAGGGCCUGCUGCCCCUGGCUUGCUCAGCCAUGUUUCUUGUACAGCCAGCCAGGGCCCAUCUGCCCAGGAUGGCACCACCCAGAGUUGGCUGGGCCCUCCCAUGUCAGCAUUCAAGAAUGCCCUGCGUACCCCACAGCUGGGCGUGGUACCGCACGCCUUUGAACCCAGAACUCAGGGACAGAGGCAGGCAGAUCUCUGUGAGUUUGAGGCCAGCUUGGUCUGCAUAGUUAGUUCCAGAAGAGCAAGGCUAUAUAGAAAAGAGACCCGUCUUAAAAAAAAAAAGAAAAAAGAAAGAAAGAAAGAAAGAAAAAGAAGAGGAGGAGGAGGAGGAGAAAGAAAGGAAGAAAGAGAGAGAGAGAGAGAGAGAGAGAGAGAGAACACGGAUAUGCCCACAAACCAAUGUUGAAAGCAAUUCCUCAACUGAGAUCCCUCUUCUCGGGUAUGACCAGGUUUGUAUCGAGUUGAGAAAAACCAUGACACAGAGUCUCUGUAAUUGUGAGCUGUGUUUGUCAGGAACUCACCGGGGGAAGGGGGCUCUGCAACAAUUCACUGUUAGUUAUUCUUUCGUUUCCACGAAUCUCUUCAUUUUCAAAAUGGUUUUUUAAUAUGAUCUUCAAGACUCCAUAAAAACGAUCCUCUCAUGUCAUUAAACUGGGUAUUUUGAAUUCUAAUGCUGUGAGUCACAACCAUUGGAUGUCCUCACAGACAGACACCGAUUCAUGAAUUGGAUCUAUGCAGCAAACACACAUCAAUUGAAUAAUGGAACAUAGAACUGAAUAAUAAUCCUCGUCAUUACAUAAAUGUUUAUGAACAACUUCAGACUCUGGGUCCCUUCUGUCUCUCCUCUAGAGGCACCUGUGGGCACUGAGCAGCCAUACUUCCCAGGAUGGCUUUCUCACACUUCCGUGUCCCGAAGUGGCAUGUGGUAUUUCAACUUUAGUUGGCCAGCAGAGAGAGAAUUUCUCUGGAGGACAGGACUGAGGAAAUGUUACUUCUUUGAUAAUUUAUUUAUUUCACGUGCAUUUGUGUUUUGCUUACAUGUGUGUAUGUGUGAAGGUAUCAGUUCCCCUGGAACUGGAGUUACAGGCAGUGGUGAGCUGCCAUGUGGGUGCUGGGAAUUGAACCCUGGUCUCCUAGAAGAGCAGCCAGUGUGCUCUUAACCGCUGAGCCAUCUCUCUAGUUCCCUGAAGCUACUUUUUAAUCUGAUGGUGUGAACCAGAGAAGCUGUGUCUGCUGGAGGCUGACAGUGAUGACUAGGGCAUCUUUGCUGAAGAGAGAAUGCAUUUUAGAAACAAAAAUAAUCUUGUUUGGGCUGGGGAGAUGGUUCCAUAAAGUGCUGAGUUCAAUCCCCGAAGCUACAUAAAAACGCUGGGUGCGGUGGCACACACUUGUAGGCCCAGCAUGGCAGAGGUCCCUGGUGGCCUACUUGGGAAGUGUCAGCUAAUAAGAGACCCUGCAUCGAAAGAGAUGGACAGCAUUCCAUUCCUAAGGAUAACACCUGAGGUAUAUCCUCUGGCCUCCAUACAAGAGAAUGUGUGUGUGUGUGUGUGUGUGUGUGUGUGUGUGUGUGUGUGUGUGUAUGUAUGAGAGAGAAAGAGACAGACAGACAUACACACACACACACACACACACACACACACACACACGAUUCAAGAGGUCAGAGUUCCCUGACGAGGGGUUAGGCUGCCACGGCCUCUCACCUUGGGCAAGCACCUCCUUUUAGCCUUCCACCUAUACCCUGGGAGCCUAAGAAGACUCUUUCCAUUGUUCAAAGUCUAAAACCUUCCAAAGGAAAACUUCCCCAAAGUCACAAAAGACUUAGCUCUGUCCCCAGGACUGUGGUUGACACAGAUUUUACAGGUCCAGCGUGGCCUGGUGAAAGGGAUGGAGUGCCAUUCAGACAGCAUCAACGUUAGAAGGUCCAUUUGGACCCCCAAACCAAUUGUGGAGGAACGAAAAAGGAGAGGGCCAGCACACUGAUCUUGGAGGGGAAAUGUCUGACGUCCGCCAUGCUGGCAGAUUUGGAAUGACUUUCCAGCAUGGAGUGGCCUCCAAAACAUGCACCUUGGGCCUGGGCCUGCUCCCCAGCUCGCCCUCACUGCCCUUAGCCCACACGCCUCCUACAGCGGGAGGAAAGUGUCAGCAUGCUUAAGUUUCCAGCAGGAAGUGAACAGGAGUGGAAGGAGCUUGAGCUGGGGCUGAGGGGCUGCAAUUCAGCCAGGAAGAGAGGGGGCUUUCCAGGAUGGAGAUCACAGAGCACCCCCCUUUUCAAGUCUGAGCAAAGGUGCUGUGUGGAGAAGAGAGUUGCUUUGGGGGCCUCUCAAAGGAAGGUUGAUAAAGAAACAGAUGCUCUCUGAGAGGGGAAGGGAAGGAUAUUUUUGUCACAGUGCAAAGAACGGGCUGGCCAGGUAGUGGGUGAACUCUCAGUCCUGAAGUCUGGUGUCAAGCUGGAGGUGGGAGGCUAGCCCCAAGGGAUGGGGACUAACCAGCCCCUGUCAGUGAGGCCUGGAGCGCUGAGGCCUGGGGCACUGAGACUGUGUUCAGCACUGACAAGACAACAGGUCAUUUGUUUUAAAGUUUCUCCUCAGCUCUGCCCUGAGGGUCAUGUGUGAGGGGAAAAAAAGUCAAGGGCCUGGCCCUAUCUGGGGGAAAGACCAAAGUGUGCAGAGAGAAAGACUUGGAAGUCUGGUAGGCCCUCGGGGCAGAACAGUCAAACCUCUCAGAUUUUCGGGAGAAGCACCCUCCCAGGCUCGUCCUGGGCAGUGUGCAAACACACACUGGAGAGUAGAGGACUGUCAAGGGUGGAGGCGGUGGCGGCAGCGGGAGGGACCGUCCCCGGGUGAAAAGGCAGAGUCCUCACCUCCUGACACCGGCCAGGAUUACAUCCAUAAGCAGGUGCCAGGCUACUCCGAGGGGAUGGCUGUCUGUCAGGACGCCCUCCAGCAAGCUCCGAAGGAACCAGUCAAAUCCUCCUCCUCAGCAGUGAGUCAGUGUGCUGGCUCAGGACUGAGAUGGUAGGAAGAGGCCAGCAUGGUCCCGGGGGCCCCGAGUUGUUAGAGUUGACACUCUGAUGAGGCAUUCAGGAGUUAAUUACAGCAAGGGAGCCAGGAGGGAUUUGGAUAAAUGAACUCUGCUGGUGAGAGGCUGGGAAUCUACAACAGCCUUGCAAGAGAAGAGAGACCGGGUAAGAAAAGAGAGCAAAGGUGGAGGCGGUGUGUGUGUGUGUGUGUGUGUGUGUGUGUGUGUGUGUGUGUGUGUGUGUGUGCGCGCACGUGUGGUACUGUAUGUUGAGUAUACAGUGUCUCUGUGAGAUGGGUGAAGUCUACUUGUCUGAAGGAUGGGUAUGACCACACUUAUGCCCAUAUAUCCCACUAUGUGCUCUGGACUUUUAUACCGGCCUACCCACAUACAGUUCACUAUAAGUGAGCCUGCAACUACUUAGCAAACAUAUCCUGGUCCUGUCUCCAACCUACCCAAAUACCCAAAUUCUUAGAGCUUCUAGGCUGUUCAGAAGCUAGGAGGACACAGAUCCUCCAUGUACCCAUUCUGGUCUGGCCCCCUGGGCAGAGGCGGCUGUGGAAGGCAGGAAGUGAGGUCAGAGCACAAACAGCUCAGCUCCUCCCAAGAAGAGGUCCAAGGCCCAUGGCGGAAAAUCUGGAAACUGCCGGCCACUGUUCACACCAAAUGACGUGGUCCCAAACUCAGCCAUUCAGUGACUGGUCACUGGUCAUCCUUGGGCAUGCAGGAAGGUGAGCAUCAUACCCAGGGAGGACUGGUACCUCGGGGCAGGAAUGUGUUACUUUCUUCAUGGUUGACCAUGCAGGACUUGUGGUCACUAGCGUGAGCCCCUACCAGUCUCUAGGGACAAGGAAGCUGUACAGGCCAAGAUGACUACAGUCUCAGAAGACAGCCUGUUGGGUCCAAAGAUGGCCACGUGUGUGGCACCUGGCGUCCUCACCCAGCCAAUCUGACACAGAGCAGGUGUUCCUCAGAGGUUUGAUGAGUUAAUGAGCCAUAUCAAGUAGGAGACAUGGCCCAAGGGACAAUCUGUCAUCCUCUAGAACAUCUCUAACAGAACUCGCUGAGUCACAGAAGGGCUCUGCAUCGGUGUAUUCAGCCAAUGUGGUAGCCACUAGCCAUGUGCAGGUACUGAGCCCAUGGACAAUGAGCAAUAAAACUGAGUAACUGGGGUAGGGGACAUGGCCCAGUUAGCAGAGUACUUGCCUAGAAUGCACAAAACUCUGAGUUCAAGCCGAGCACCACAUAAGCGGGUAUGGCAAGUCUGAGGUCUCUACAUGAGACCCUGAGGAUUUUAAAAAUCCAACUUGAGGGACUGACUUUUAGUUGAAAUUAGUAACAGUUUAAAUAACUACCCACGGCUAGUAGCUUCUGUAGUAGGCAGAUAGCUUUAAAACACUAUGGAAAACUGAGCCCAGCCUGGCCCCCGUGGUGACAGGAAUGUGGUGGUCGCAUCUACGCGUGGUUGGGGAGAGUGCUGACAGAGUCUGACCUGGCAGACUCACAUCACCUGCUCUGUCACGGUGUCACUGGCCUAAGAAGGCCAGCUCAACGCCAUGCUGGGAAUGAUGGUCCCAAGCAAAUGACACAGAUGUAAUUCCACUUGGACAGGGCGACCCACGGCUUCACUCCCUCCCUGGGCCACCUCCUCAAGAAGGAGUUAACCUCACCACAUGCCUUCCAAACAUGCUCCUGAUUUCCUUUAUGGUGAGUGCGCAGCCACCCCUCCAGCUCUGUGCCCAAGUCAGUUUCUGGCUGAACUGACACCAACAUCUUUCACACUGAGAACAAAGAAUAUUCCUCCAAUGAAGACUGUCCAUCACAGCACAGUUCCCUAUCACCUACCAUCCAUGUGUGUGCACGCACACACCCACACACACACACACAUGCAUAGGCACAUAAAUACACAUGGAAACAGAAACAAACACACAUAUACAUAUACAUUUGUGCACACACUUGGAGAUAAGCACAUGUGUACCCACACCCGCGCAUACACAGAGAAAACACACGCCCACAUACACUGUUACUCUAUGACCCAGAUGGACUCCUUUCUGCCACACUUAUUCACUAGCCUCUCACUUCCUGAAAAGCUCCAGCAGAAUCAUGUUCUUUAUAAAUGUUUAAUAUGUAUGAGUGCCUUGCCUGUAUGUAUGUGCACCACAUGUGUGCAGUACCCAUGCAGGCCAGAAGAGGGCAUCAGAGCCCUUGUAAUUAUAGUUACAGAUGACAGGUGCUGGGAAGGGAACCCAGCCAUUUUCCAAGAACAGUAAGUGCUCCUAACUGCAGAGCCAUCUCUCCAGCCCUAAGAAUCGUGUUUAAAGACCGAUUUCAAACACUUCUGAGUGUUUCCCUAGUCACUUGCUGAUUCCCUCAUCCCUCCCACCUUUCCUGGACCCUCCACCUUUACCCUGAGCCAUGCACCUCUUCUUAUUUUUUUUGGUGUGUACCUAACCAAAUCACAGGACCAUGUUUAUCCCAGGCAUGACCCCAUCCCGAUUUCAGUUCUUUAUACCUCAGGCCCCGUUCGUUAAUUUGAAUCCAUCACAACAUGUUCCAAGCCAGGCAGGCCAGGACACAACGGGACCCCUGAUUAGAAUGGUAAGGUCAUGGCUGCACCCUUUUGGCUAGCUUCUGCUAAGCCCCAGGGACCCUGGGCCAGAGAGAUGACUGGAGACAGGCCUAAAGCUCACAUAUGGUACUUCUGAGGGGAAACUGUCCUAAGAUCCCAGGAGCUUCAUGGUCAACAGCUUUCGCUGAACCCACCAGCACUCUAGGAGCCCUUGUCCUACCCUCUUAGGCCAGCAGGGCCCGUGCAAACGUGGGUUCCAGCCCUCAGCCCUGCUGGUUGGGUGGUUAAUUCACAGAAUGAGCUCUACUCACUGAAAGUGCCCGGAUGAGUUCUCCACUCCUCCAUGAUGAUUGUCCAGAGGCACCUCCAACUCAACCACAGCCUACCCCCCCAUCCCAGCAAACCCCCCUCUAGCCUCAACUCCACACUCUCUGUUCCAUCUAGCCAUAAAGCCCUCUAGUUCUGCCUUCUACCUAGACUCCUGCUGGCACUCGGUACUCUACCAUAACCGCCAUCCUGAGCUGGACCGCCACGUCUCGCUCAUCUCCCUGCUUCCCCAUCUCCAGCUACACUUAUCUGUUUGAAUUCCAAGACCCAGGCAUGGCUGACCCUAGCUCCCUUCAGCACAAAGUCAAGGCCCUCAAGAGGGCUGCAGGCUCCAGCUCCAGGCUGUGGCUCACAGGACCACUCUGCCUCUCUUCCCUUCCUUUCUGUUCACAGUACUGUGUUCCUGAUGCCCCGUGGACACACCUCUGGUUCUUUCCCAUGCUGCCUCCCCUCCACGGCUCGCUGCUCACCGCCCUGCAGGGCUCCACUCCAAUCUACCUUGAGAAAGUGUUUCCUGGCCCCAGAUAUUGAAUACCAACCUCCCUCUACCCAUGGUUCUCGUUAAGUUUCUUUCCCUGCUCCAUUACAUAUACCCACGUCUUUUCUGCCAGCCACCCCGACAGAAUCUAUUACACUCAGGACCAUCUCCUCAUGGAAGAAGGCCCUGAAUACUUAUCAUCUGAAUGUACGCUUACUGACUUCUAUUUUUAAGAUAAAUUUAAUUUUUACUUUUAAGAGUGUGUGUGUGUGUGUGUGUGUGUGUGUGUGGGUAUGGGUAUGUGCAUACAGGAGCCUGUAGAGACCAGAAGAGGGCAUUGGAUCCCCUGGAUCUGGAGUUAUAGGCAGUUGUGGGCCGCCUGACACGGGUACUGAGAACAAGAACUUAGGUCUGCAUGCGCUCUUAGCCGCCGAGGCCUUUCUCCAGCCUCUCAUAGACGUCACCAUCCCCUUCUCUGCUCCUACUUCACAGACAGGCCGGGGCUCGGAGGGCGUGAGUACCAACUCAAGGCCAAGUGACAAGAGGUUCCGCUAGAAUGGGAAUGGAAGUCUCACUCUGCAGCCCAGCACGGUGGCUCCUUCACACCUGUGAUCCCAAUACUUGGAAGGCUGAGGGAGGAAGGCCUUGGCCAUGAGUUCAAGGCCAGGCUGGCCCGCAGAGUGAGACUGUCUCAGAAACGAAAACAAUGUACAGAGAUGCUGCAAGGCAGCUAAAAGCCCAGACUGCUGUAGAGGACGGAGACAUUUCUUCAAUAUUAAGUAGGCAUUUAAUAAACUACCACGGCUUCAUUCCCUCAGCCAGAGAGGGGACGCUCCCAUCCCUGGCCGCAGGCCACAGACGCCCAGCGGCUGAGGAAGACUAUGCUGCCAGCAACAGUGGAGAAGGCUGGAGACCUGCAGAAUCAGCAGAAGCUGGGAAGCAAGAGGCCAGUCACCUCCAUGAAGACAGAAGCCAAGGGUCAUGGGAACUAGAGAAGCCUGAGCAGGGUCCCCGUGGUGUCGGAGGAUGAAGAUGAGGGAAAGAGGAGACCAGCUGAGGGGCUGAGCAACUUCAGCGGCAGGGCACAUCGUCUGACUUGAAAGCAGUUCAGAAAACACUUAACGCAUGCUGACGCCAUAAAGCGAGGCCCCGGGCCUGAGCGCUGCAUUCUGGGAAGAGCCUCGCCUGGCUUCAGCACUGGUACUGAAAAUGCUUGAGCAUUUACCCGAGGAUUGCACAGACCGUUUAGCAUGGCAGUGACUUCAAGUGGCACCUGAAAGGGGGACAGGCGUCCAGACCACCCUCUGUCUGCUCCUACGGGGGCUUCUGCAGCCCUCUGUCCCAAGUGUCCCCGUCUGUCAUCUCAUUCCCAUCCGUACUGGCUUUGACAGAGGAGAGCACGUGGAGACCUGUGCUGCCCCACAGGCUGAGGCUCCUGUGUCCAGUCAGCCCUGAGGUCCAGGGAGGGAGUGACCUCUGUCCUGACUGGAACAGAGGAGAGAAGAGUGUUCUCUCAACCAGCUGCCACCUUCCUCCUCCCUUGGGCCAGUGUGUCCCCAGGGGCUGAAGCCAUGUCCUAGCAGUGAAGGCACCAAAGGACUUCACAGUUUGGAAGCUCAACUCUACCUUCUUCCUUCACGUACUUCCCAAACAAUCCAUGACAAUGAUAUAUAUAUUUUUAAGCCCAGUUUUUCAGAAGGCUAAACGAAGACAGCGAGGCACAGCCCCAAUGUCACAUAGGGGAGUGCCAGACCCUGCUGUCCCCGAGAAAGCUGGUGCAAUACUGGAUACAGAUCUGACGUCACCAACAUAGGGACAGGGCUGGUCCCCUGUGACGCAGACUCGGCUGUCAGUCGCAAGAGGAGGUGACGUGGGGAUGGAGUGUGCAAGGACCUGGGUCUGCUGACCUCACGAGCAAGGACAGUCCCUAGGGCAUCAGGGUUCCACGGGCAGAGAGGUAUUUUCUAGAUAAACAAGGGUGUAAGUGCCUAAGUACACUCUCAUUCAUCACUAAGGGGAGUAUAAAUUGUUUGCGCCUGUACAUGAGUCAAUUUGGCAAUAUUUAUCAACAUUAGAAAGGCACAAGGCUGGUGCCUCCAAAAGUUAAACACAGUGGUACCUGGCAAUUCCACUUCCGGGUGGGUAUCCAAAAGGCGUGAAGCAAAGAAUGGAACAGACACUCGGACCCCAGUGCUCAUGGUGACAUUAUUCACCACAGACAGAAGGAAAACCCAGAGGAUGCUCAACAGUACGCCAGCCAAAGGUCCUGAUGAUUUCUGUUGUUGUUGUUUUGCUUGUUUUUGUUUUUGUUUUUCAAGACAGGGUUUCUCUGUGUAGCUUUCGAGCCUUUCCAGGAACUCACUCUGUAGCCCAGGCUGGCCUUGAACUCACAGAGAUCCACUUGCCUCCGCCUCUGCUAAGAUUAAAGGUGUGUGCCCCCAUCACAGGGCAGGUCUUGAAGAUUUAACUGUGGUCUACGGCAGCAUCAUGCUGCCCUGGAAAGAAGGAAGUUCUGCACAUGCUACACAAAGAUGCUCCUUGAAGACUUUAUGCUAAUUCAUGAAACAAGCCAAAUGCCAAGAGGACAGUUACUCUGUGACUCUACUUCUGCGAUACCUACAAUAGGCAGCUUCACAGUCGCCUCUAGAGGCUGAGAGUGGGGCGGGGAUGAGGAGUCAGUGUUGAUGGGCUGAGUUCCUUUCUGUUUGGGGUGAUACAAUUCGCAACAACGUAAGUGGACUCGGCGCCACUGAACUGCACACUUAAAAAUGACCAGAAGUGGGGUGGGGCUGAGAAGACAGCUCACCUUGCCAGCGUGAUGGUCUGAGUUCUACCCACAAAGCCCACAUGAAAAAGCCACACGUGGUGGGACAUGCUUGUAAGCCCAACACUGGGGAGGCUGAGACACGCAGAUCCCUGAGGCUUCCUGACCAACUGGCCUAGCCCAGCCUAGUCCAGCCUAGUCGAGCCUAGCCCAGGCUAGCCCAGCCUAGCCAAAUUUCAAGCUCUGGGCCAGUAAGAGACCCUGUUUUUAAAAAGCAUGGGGGUAGGGAGGGGCAUGAUGACGACAGACAAUACUUGAGGUUUUUCUCCAACACACACACACACACACACACAUAAAUUCUAGCUCUCUAGAAGCAGUAAGAAACACCGAAGAUGCUAAGAUGUGAGGGACCAAAGCCUCAGAGGGAAGAGAAACACAUUUAGGGGAAGCUAGUACCCUCUGCCAUCUUUCCCUUGAGGCCAGGAACAGAGGCAGUGGUGAGAACAUCCCAAGGGUUGGAGAUAAAGAAGACACUAGACAGAUCCACAAGGCUGAGAUGCUGGAAUGCAGAGAGCUGGAGCACAAGCCUGACUUCCAGUAUUCUGUUCCGGAACCAGGGGUUGGGGGGGGGGGACCACAACACCCAAACAGAAGCUGCUAGAAAAGAGGACACAGAUAGAAGACCAUGUCUGCAGCAGCAGUUUCUCCAGCUAAGGAGCUCAAGUCCCACCCCCUAAGAGGAGGACCCGCCUCCUAAGAGCUAUAUGCACAUGUACAGGCACCCAUACAUACAUACAUACAAUACACACACACACACACACACACACACAUAUUCACUAAAAGUCCAGCUCUUACACAAUAUCUUUAUGAAAAAUUUAGAGGUGGGGGGAAAGCAAAGAUACCAGGACCCGAGCAAAAAGACAUGAGCACUUAACAAAUUCCCAGCCAGAUCCCAGAUGAAGUCAAUGACGGGGUGAGGUUUCUGUGGACUGCCAGGAACUUAGCUAGUGUUAAGAGAGAGUGAUACAGUGAAAAAUGUCUUAAAGAAAGACCGUACCAAAAGAGUAUGACAGCGCACGCCUAUAAUCCCAGCACUUGGGAGGCAAAGGCAGGAGGACCAGAAGUUCAAGGUCAUCCUUGGCUACGUCACAAGUUCAAGGCUAGCCUGGGCUAUGAGAGACUCUAUCUCAAAAACCAAACACGUAAUACUUCAAAACCAUCAAAAUUGAGUCCUGAAAGCUGUAUGUAUUAAGAGAUGUUUGUCUCAGGGGCCGCAGCAAAGCUGCUUUUAUCUGUAAAUGUUUAAGUUUGACUGUAUAAAUUAUGUGGCUUCGGGGACCUAAACUAGGCUGCAGAACUGGGUCACUGCCAUCUAAGGCCACACCAUCUACUUCCUCAGAUGCUCACACUGAAGAGUCUGCAUCUCUUCUUCUAUUUUCCUUUCAAGAAUUAGAAAACCAAAAGAAUUUGCACCUUAAUGUCUCAUGGAGUAACAUUCCUUAGAGGAAUUAUAAAUACCAUUGCUUCUGGCAUUUUCGGUGACAUGCUACAAAAUCAUGUCUUCUAAAUGAGUGCAAGGGCUGGCAGACUCUCUGGCAAAGCAGAGAAGAAAAGAUCCGAAAACGGUCAUGAGGUCAGCACAAAUACUCCUUCUGAAGCAUAGGGGGGAAAAUGAGUUAGAGUCGGGGCAGGGGGGGAGUCAGGAGUGACAGGUAGCACAUCCCUAUAAUCCCGGUGUUGGGGAGUGGGGCAGAGGCAGGAUUGUCACUAGUUCUAGGCCAGCCUGAGCUACACAGUGAGGCUCUGUAUUACAGAAAGGAAAGACACAAGGGGGGGGGGGACACCUUUAACCUCAGCAUUUAGGAGGCAAAAGCAGGUGGAUCUCUGUGAGUUCAAAGCCAGCCUGGUCUACAGAGUGAGCUCCAGGACAGGCAGAGCUGUUACACAGAGAAACUCUGUCUCAAAAAAAUAAAAAAUAAAAAAAUAAAUAAGUGAAGACAGGAAAACCUAUCACAUUAAAUGCAUAUUUGACAGCCUGAUGUGACACCUUUAAUUCCAGCACUCAGGAGGCAGAGGCAGGCAGAUCUCUGUGAGUUUAAGGCCUUCCUGGUCAACAUCGUGAAUCUCAAACUAUCCAGGUCUACAUAGAGACCGUCUCAAAAGAACAAACAAACAUAUUAAAAGUACAUUUUAGCAAAACAUGUCAAAGCUCAUUCUUCUAGGCUAUAUACCUAGACGACAACAAGGACAUAAAGUAAAUCAAAGGAAAAGAAGAAAAUUAUAAAGGAUUUUUGUUGGUUUUUUUUGUUUUGUUUGUUUUGGUUUGGUUUGGUUUGGUUUUUCAAGACAGGGUUUCUCUGUGUAGCCCUCGCCGUCCUGGAUCUCACUCUGUAGCCCAGGCUGGCCUCAAACUCAGAGAUCCACCUGCCUCUGCCUCCCAAGUGCUGCGAUUAAAGGCAUGUGCCACCACUGCCCAGCAGAUAAAGUUUUUAAAAAGCAUAAAUUAAUGAAUUAUAGACCAAUGUACAAAGAACAUAAAAAAAAAAUAGAAGGUGGCUCACUGCUCAGACUAAACCUGAGACUAUUACCUCAGCAAGGUGAAUGAAUGGGAAAAAAGAAAAAGAAGGCACACAUUAUCAAUAAGAAAACAAAAAUCAGUAUAACUCUCACAGACAAUAAGCAAGUCAAAAGAAAUGAGCACUGUGUCAACAAUUGGAAAA